AUGAAAGAAGUGGUAAGAAAAGAAAUACUAAAGCUUCUGGAGGCAGGUAUAAUUUAUCCUGUUGCUGAUAGUCAGUGGGUAAGUCCUUUCCAUUAUGUCCCUAAGAAGGGAGGUAUUACUGUUGUUCCUAAUGAUAAGGAUGAAUUGAUCCCACAAAGAAUUGUCACAGGUUAUAGAAUGGUAAUUGAUUUUCACAAAUUAAAUAAAGCUACUAGAAAGGAUCAUUACCCUUUACCUUUUAUUGAUCAAAUGCUAGAAAUAUUAUCUAAGCAUACAAAAUUUUGCUUUCUAGAUGGUUAUUCUGGUUUCUCUCAAAUACCCGUGUCAAAAGAGGAUCAUGAUAAGACCAGCUUUACUUGCCCUUUCGGUACCUUUGCUUAUAGAGGUAUGCCUUUUGGUUUAUGUAAUGCACCUGCUACCUUUCAAAGAUGUAUGACUGCUAUAUUCUCUGACUUUUGUGAAAAGAUUGUUGAGGUUUUCAUGGAUGAUUUCUCCGUGUAUGGAACUUCUUUUGAUGAUUGCUUAAGCAACCCUGAUCGAGUUUUGCAGAGGUGUGAAGAAACUAAUCUUGUCUUGAAUUGGGAGAAGUGCCACUUUAUGGUUAAUGAAGGUACUGUCUUGGGGCAUAAGAUUUCUGAAAGAGGUAUUGAAGUUGAUAAAGCUAAAGUUGAUGCUAUUGAAAAGAUGCCGUGUCCCAAGGACAUUAAAGGUAUAAGAAGUUUCCUUGGUCAUGCCGGUUUUUAUAGGAGGUUCAUUAAAGACUUCUCUAAAAUUUCUAGGCCUCUGACUAAUCUCUUACAAAAAGAUGUUCCUUUUGUCUUUGAUGAUGAUUGCGUAGAAGCAUUCAAAAUACUUAAGAAAGCCUUGAUUUCUGCACCUAUUGUUCAGCCACCUGAUUGGAAUUUACCCUUUGAAAUUAUCUGUGAUGCUAGUGAUGAUGCUGUAGGUGCACAAAUAACAAAGAGUCUCUUGUGUACCCAACACACCCAAUACAAUGGCAAAUUGUAUAGGUGCACUAGUUCGGCGAAGAGACGGUGA
rnacentral:rRNA from 1 species